UAGGGAAUCUUCCGCAAUGGACGAAAGUCUGACGGAGCAACGCCGCGUGAGAGAAGAAGGAUUUCGGUUCGUAAAACUUUGUUGUUAGGGAAGAAAAAAUGUAUAGUAACUAUAUACAAAAGAGACGGUACCUAACCAGAAAGCCACGGCUAACUACGUGCCAGCAGCCGCGGUAAUACGUAGGUGGCAAGCGUUGUCCGGAAUUAUUGGGCGUAAAGCGCGCGCAGGUGGUUUAGAAAGUCUGAUGUGAAAGCCCACGGCUCAACCGUGGAGGGUCAUUGGAAACUAAUAAACUUGAGUGCAGGAGAGAAAAGUGGAAUUCCUAGUGUAGCGGUGAAAUGCGUAGAGAUUAGGAGGAACACCGGUGGCGAAAGCGGCUUUUUGGCCUGCAACUGACACUGAGGCGCGAAAGCGUGGGGAGCAAACAGG
rnacentral:rRNA from 1 species